ACCUGAUUACCCUCAUGUCACCUGUCCCUCGUUACCGCCUUCCUUUCUUGUGUGUACAAGCCCAGCUGAAAUCUUGCCUGGGGCUUCACCUUGCUCUGAGAGCUGCGAGGGGAAUAAUUGUCUGCAAAUACAAGUGCUGAAAAGAUGGAGGAAGAGUUCUUUAUGAGGAACGGUGAACAAAGUUUUGAUGACUUGCUGAUGUGUAUUUGUAGCUUUUUUCAGAUGUUUUUUUGUUGCUCGUUUUUGGUCUCCAAGUUGCACAAUGAAAGUACAGUUAAUUUCGUAGAAUAAAGCUGUUUUGCAGUGUACUGUGUACUUACCGCAGUGUGAGCAUGAAGUCGUAUCCCGGCGUGGUGGCUCCAAACGGCUGCCGUCUCACGCUGUCAGCGAACCGCCUCAUUUACAGAUACAGACGUGAACUUGUAUCAGACAUCUGACCAUUCUGC